GCCCUGGGGACUUUUUGUUUGUCCUCACCUUCUCCCAGCUGGAGCCAAGGUGUUUCACACGCACAGAGUGAGAAGGAGGAUAAAUCCUUCCUUGACAUCCACAGCCUGAUGCCUCUCCCUGACUCUGGUGUCAUCUCACCUACCCUCUUCCUUGUUCAGUACAGAUCACCUCGGCUUCACUUCCUAGAUUAGCAACUGCUGAGAAAUUCACCAGAACUUUUUUCCAGGAGGAAUAAUCCUAGCCCUGUCAUGCUCUCUGCAUAGACUUUUCAUUCCCCUCAUAUUCCUCUCCCUGUCCUUCUUAUUCUGAAGUCACUGAAAACAGGACUCAUCAUCGAACUCCAAGCACUAAUCAGGACAAGAGGCCCAGAGGCAGCAUGUUCUCCUGAGGCUGGU
rnacentral:lncRNA from 1 species